UACGGGGGGAGCAAGCGUUGUUCGGAUUUACUGGGCGUAAAGGGCGCGUAGGCGGUCGUGACAAGUCACUUGUGAAAUCUCCGGGCUUAACUCGGAACGGUCAAGUGAUACUGUCGGGCUAGAGUACAGAAGGGGCAACUGGAAUUCUCGGUGUAGCGGUGAAAUGCGUAGAUAUCGAGAGGAACACCUGCGGCGAAGGCGGGUUGCCGGCUGGAUACUGACGCGUGAGGCGCGAAAGCCAGGGGAGCGAACGGGG
rnacentral:rRNA from 1 species